rnacentral:lncRNA from 1 species
UGCUUAUUGUCGCGGUCAGGUCCGUGCGAUACGUUCGUUGCUGUUGUGCUGCUGUUCCCUUUACCAUCAGCUCCUGUUCAGGGGUCGUGUGCAUCUUCCUCUAAUUCGCUGCCAGCGAAUAGUUUGGAGACUGUUGCUCCCCCCAUCAGGACGAUGGAUUUUCCCUAUCUACCCUGCAUGUAUUCUUCAAAAAGACGGCAAAUGUGUUCAAAAAAAUUGGCCAUGAAACGAUUGGAGGCUACAGGCAAAAAACCUUGCCGUAUUGCUCCUGUCUCUUGCAACAAGUUUGACAGUGAUUAUGCCAAGUUUUUAAGAGGUUGCUUUCAUCUCUGA